CAUGCAAAGUAUUAACAACAAACCGAAUGGAGGGAAAAACGACGGCUUGUGUUGAAGCCAUAUAAAAGGCUUCGAGGAGCUGAUGCGCCCAUAAUUCCCCGGUAAAGCUUCAAAGUCGUGGUCGUGUCUUCAACAUAAAUUGGCUCUCCCCAAGCUGAAGUCUUUUGCAAAGAAAAUUUCAUUUCAUUUGUUCAUUUUUAUACCCCCCACCGAAGGAUGGGGGUAUAUAAAUUUUGUCAUUCCAUUUGCAACACAUCGAAAUAUUCAUUUCCGACCCUAUAAAGUACAUAUAUAUUCUUGAUCAGCGUAAAAAUGUAAGACGAUCUAGCCAUGUCCGUCCGUUUGACGGUUGAAAUCACGCUACAGUCUUUAAAAAUAGAGAUGUUGAGUUGAAA